AAUCCUUGUUGAGGGCAAUGUCGACCAAAUCUUCAUAGAUUUCCCAUACCUCGUAGAACAAUUCGAAAUCAUUUUGUUUGAAUUGAGAAAUCUCGCUUCUAAGUUA